rnacentral:lncRNA from 1 species
UGGAUCUGGGCCUGGGUGGUAGCUGAGUUGUUUAUCUCACUGGUUCUCCUUUAUCCACACCACAGGGGCAAGCUUUCCAGCUCUGCUUGUCAGCAGUAGGCAGGCCUACUGUGCUGUGAUCCCUGCUGCUGCAUAGACCCAGAGACCCAGACAUGGUCCUCAGCAGCAGCUCAGGCUGGGACUUUAUCCGUGGCUCCAGGUGAUGGAGCUGGCCACCCACAACAGGCUUCUCCUUUCCACCCUCGAGUCUCCAGUUCCAUCUCUCUUCAUAAUGCUCAAGGAACAGCAAAAGGCUAAAAUACCAUGGCUUUUAAGAUGGCCUAACUCUGCACACUGAUGAAAAAGGCUGACAUCGUCUUAUCUCAACCAACUGCAGCUAACGUGUCAGUUUAGGAGUUCCACUUAGCAUCUUCUGGACACACCCUCCUGAUGUACAACUGUGUACUAUAAAGAGCAAGUUAAGCCUUGCAAACAUCUGUGUCACAUGAUAUAAACCCGUGGUGUUUGGCUGACAGCAGCGAGCAAUGAAGUACUGCAGCUGAGAGUAUCUGGGAAGGUUGAUGCUGAGAUUGCUGGGACCUUGGAGACACAACUCUGCACAGAAUUGACAUUGGGAGCCCCUUAAUGAGUUUCUGCUUCUGAGAAGGGCGCUCGACAGCGAGCCGUUGCCCGGGCCUGGUGCCCAGUAUGUGAAGUUCCGAGACAGCUCGUCUAGGACGGCCGAGGCGUCGUCCUCGGGGGCUGUGCGCGCCGGAGCCGCCAUGAGGACUGAAUCCACGCGCUGGGACUCGGGCGCGGCCCUCCCGUCCGUCCUCCCGCAGCCGCAGCCACUUCCUGCCCGGCGACCCGGCGCCGGCACCUGGCUCCUGCGGCACGCAGGUGAGGUCCGGGCUCGGCCCAGUUGCCGCCGCUCCCUUCUGGGCCCCGGUGCCUACACCUGUCAGCGCAGGAAUGACAUCAUCUCUUUUGCCUCUGGGAUCUACUGUGCACAAAGCAAAUGUUUGUCCAAGUGCAGGGAGAAAAGGAGCUAUCCAUUAAUCUAAAGAGUGACCGGCACCCUUGGCAGUUCCAGUUCGCGCGUGUAAAAGGUUUAAAAUGUUCCACAUAUGGAAAAAAGAAAAAGCCAUAAUCUCCCUCUCCCCAAUAUUGGGCACAUUGUGAAUGAAGAGCCCAGCCACAGAGUGACCAUUAGGAACUAUUCGAAGAAUAGAGAAGAGAUAUCCUAUGGCAGCUGGAUAGGCUGUCAGAUAAGUUCAUAAAGAAUUGCUGAAACGUUGUCAGCUGCCCCAUAUGGUGAUUUAAGUUGAGUCAGAAAUGCUAAGAACAACCUUAAGUACGCAUACUGGAUAUUCUAGUCUGACCGGUUUUAAACUCGGUUACACUACAAAUGAUCUUUGUCUUGUCUGUCACUUUGAACAUUCUGUGAUUUUUGUGUUAUUACAUGAAGUGUCUACACUGGGAAUUUGUUUUCAAGACACUGAGACUCUUUAAGCUAUGCACUUUAAAGAUAGGGGAGAGAGGAAACAAGACAGGAAGAGAGGAGAGGGGAGGGAAGGAGAAGAGAGGAGAGGAGGGAGAAAGGAGGAGGAGGAGAGGGGGGAUAGAAGGAGGGAGGGAAGAAGGGAGAGAGGAAGAGAGAGAGGGAAAAAGGGACCUGGGAGAAAGCUGUGAUGAUUUCUUAGGGGAAAUAUGUAAAGCAGAGAAGAGAGUGUAAGUCAUUUCAGACGCAAA